CAGCGACGAAGCAAUUGCUUCAUUUUUGGAGAUCAUUGGAAGGUCUUUGGAAGAACUUUCACUCAAUAGCAUCAGGAAGGUUGGCCAACACACAGCCUUAUCACUUGCAAGGAAUGCCAGAAAUUUGCAUACUCUAGAUCUUUCAUGGUGUCGAAAUGUGAGUGAUGAAGAGUUAGGUUUAAUAGUAGACAGCUGCUUCUCUCUCAAGUUACUUAAACUUUUUGGAUGCUCACAGGUAACAAGCAUUUUUUUGGAUGGGUACUCAAACCCAAGGAUCCAAAUCAUUGGGUUGAAGCUCACUCCUUUAUUGCAACGUAUCGAAGUGUUUGAACAUCCUCAAGGUGCUUUGCGUUAUUCAUCAGUCUCAUUCAAUGAUUAAAAACAGAAUCAGAAAUGAAAUAUAUAGAUGGGGACAAUUGGCAUAACUAGUGAUAUUUCUACUAGUGACAUAGUGUUUUUUGAUUUAGUCUAAUUGUAAGUGAAGACUGGAGAGUACAUUUUUCCCUGUUGAAACAUUCAGUGUCAAACA